rnacentral:rRNA from 1 species
UCGCGAGGCAGCAGUAGGGAAUCUUCCACAAUGGACGCAAGUCUGAUGGAGCAACGCCGCGUGAGUGAAGAAGGUUUUCGGAUCGUAAAGCUCUGUUGUUGGUGAAGAAGGAUAGAGGCAGUAACUGGUCUUUAUUUGACGGUAAUCAACCAGAAAGUCACGGCUAACUACGUGCCAGCAGCCGCGGUAAUACGUAGGUGGCAAGCGUUGUCCGGAUUUAUUGGGCGUAAAGCGAGCGCAGGCGGAAUGAUAAGUCUGAUGUGAAAGCCCACGGCUCAACCGUGGAACUGCAUCGGAAACUGUCAUUCUUGAGUGCAGAAGAGGAGAGUGGAACUCCAUGUGUAGCGGUGGAAUGCGUAGAUAUAUGGAAGAACACCAGUGGCGAAGGCGGCUCUCUGGUCUGCAACUGACGCUGAGGCUCGAAAGCAUGGGUAGCGAACAGGAUUAGAUACCCUGGCAGUCCAUGCCGUAAACGAUGAGCGCUAGGUGUUGGGGACUUUCCGGUCCUCAGUGCCGCAGCAAACGCAUUAAGCGCUCCGCCUGGGGAGUACGACCGCAAGGUUGAAACUCAAAGGAAUUGACGGAAGGGC